rnacentral:rRNA from 1 species
UUUAAAUAAAUUUUAAUAAAAUUCCAUUAAUAAAACUAUUUUAAAUAUUUGAUCCUUUCGUACUAAAAUAUUUUAUUUUACUAAAGAUAGAAACCAACCUGGCUUACACCGGUUUGAACUCAGAUCAUGUAAGAUUUUAAUGAUCGAACAGAUCAAAAUUUUAAACUUUUGCAUUUAAAUUUUAUCUUAAUCCAACAUCGAGGUCGCAAACUCUUUUUCUUAUUUGAACUAAAAAAAAAAAUUACGCUGUUAUCCCUAAGGUAAUUUAAUCUUUUAAUCACAAAUUAUGGAUCAUUUAUUCAUUUAUUUAUGUUAUAUAUAUAUAUAUAUAUAUAUAUAUGAUAUAAAAAAAGUUAUUUUUAUUUUUUCAUCACCCCAAUAAAAUACAAUUAUUAAUCUCAAUUUAAUAUUCAUAGAAAAAUUUAUGAUAAAUAAGCAUAUAAAACUCUAUAGGGUCUUCUCGUCUUUUAAUUAUAUUUUAACUUUUUAAUUAAAAAAUUAAAUUUUAUAAAUUAAUAAUAAGACAGCUUAUAUCUCAUCCAAUCUUUCAUUCUAGUCAUCAAUUAAAAGACUAUUGAUUAUGCUACCUUUGUACAGUCAAAAUACUGCAGCCCUUUAAUUUUCAUCAGUGGGCAGAUUAGACUUUAAAUUAUUUUCAAAAAGACAUGUUUUUGAUAAACAAGUGAAUAUAAAUUUUUGCCGAAUUCCUUAUAUUUAAUUUAAAUAAAUUUUCUAUUUAAAUUCUUUUUAUUUAAAUUUAUAUACUAAUUUUAUCAUUAUAACUAAAAUUAUUUAAUUAAAUUUUAUUUUUUAAUAAAAAAUUAAUAUUUUAUUUUUAAAUUUCAAUUUUUAUGAAAUUAUUUAUAAAAAAUUAUAAUUUUUAAACAAUAUAAAUUUUAAAAUUUCCAACAACUUUCAAAUCUAUUAUAAAAAUUUAAAUUAAAGCUUAUCCCUUAAAAUAUUAAAUUAAAUUUUUCAAAAAAUUAAUUAUUUAAUUUCUUAAUUAAAAUAAUAUUAAAUUAAAUUUUUUUCUUAAAAAACUAGAUAUAUUUAAAAACGAUUAACAUCUCAUUUCUAAUUAAUUAUUUAAAAUAUUUUUCCCACAAUAAAUUUUUUAAUUAAUUAACUCUUUUAAAUUCGAGAAUUUUUUUUUAUAAAAAUUUUUAUUAAUAAACUCUGAUACACAAGAUACAAUAAACUAAAUUUACUUUUUUUAUAAUUAUAUUUUCUUAUAUUUCAAAUUUCUUACACAAUACUAAUUCUCUAUAAAUUAAAUAAUUUUUCCUUUAAAAAAUACUUAAACCCCCAUAUAUUUUUUACAUUAAAAUUAUUUUUUUUAUAAAUUUUAUAUACUAAUUUUUCCCCACUCAAAU